AACCAUUGAUCUGGGGCGUAUGUGUAUC
rnacentral:sRNA from 1 species